rnacentral:rRNA from 1 species
AUUGAACGCUGGCGGUAGGCCUAACACAUGCAAGUCGAGCGCGAAAGUGCCUUCGGGCGCGAGUAGAGCGGCGGACGGGUGCGUAACGCGUAGGAAUCUGCCUGGUAGUGGGGGAUAACUCGGGGAAACUCGAGCUAAUACCGCAUACGCCCCACGGGGGAAAGCGGGGGACCUUCGGGCCUCGCGCUAUCAGAUGAGCCUGCGUCGGAUUAGCUAGUUGGUAGGGUAAUGGCCUACCAAGGCGACGAUCCGUAGCUGGUCUGAGAGGAUGAUCAGCCACACUGGGACUGAGACACGGCCCAGACUCCUACGGGAGGCAGCAGUGGGGAAUAUUGGACAAUGGGGGCAACCCUGAUCCAGCCAUACCGCGUGUGUGAAGAAGGCCUUAGGGUGUAAAGCACUUUCAGUGGGGAGGAAAAGUUGCCGGCGAAUACCCGGCGACCGUGACGCUACCUGCAGAAGAAGCACCGGCAAACUCCGUGCCGGCAGCCGCGGUAAU